rnacentral:rRNA from 1 species
UUAAGUUAUGAAGGGCGCAUGGUGAAUGCCUUGGUACUAGGAGCCGAUGAAGGACGGGACUAACACCGAUAUGCUUCGGGGAGCGGUAAGUACGCUUUGAUCCGGAGAUUUCCGAAUGGGGAAACCCAAUCAUCUUAGUCGAUGAUUGCCUGAGCAGUGAAUACAUAGCUGUCAGGCGGUAGACGCAGUGAACUGAAACAUCUAAGUAGCUGCAGGAAGAGAAAGAAAAUUCGAUUCCCUGAGUAGCGGCGAGCGAAACGGGAAGAGCCCAAACCAACGAGCUUGCUUGUUGGGGUUGUAGGACUGAACAUUUGAGUUACCAAAGUGCGACGUAGUUGAAGUCGUUGGGAAGCGACGCCAAAGAUGGUGAUAGCCCAGUAAACGAAACGUCACACUCUCAGUUCAGGAUCCUGAGUACGGCGGGACACGUGAAACCCCGUCGGAAUCCGCGAGGACCAUCUCGCAAGGCUAAAUACUCCCUAGUGACCGAUAGUGAACCAGUACCGUGAGGGAAAGGUGAAAAGCACCCCGGGAGGGGAGUGAAACAGUUCCUGAAACCAUGUGCCUACAAGCUGUCGGAGCACAUUUACGUGUGACGGCGUGCCUCUUGCAGAAUGAACCGGCGAGUCAUGAUUGCGUGCAAGGUUAAGGUGGAAAAACCGGAGCCGCAGCGAAAGCGAGUCUGAAAUGGGCGUACGAAGUACGCAGUUAUGUACCCGAAACCAGGUGACCUACCCAUGUCCAGGUUGAAGGUGCGGUAAAACGCACUGGAGGACCGAACCCGUAUCAGUUGAAAAUGGUUGGGAUGAGGUGUGGGUAGCGGUGAAAUUCCAAACGAACUUGGAGAUAGCUGGUUCUCUCCGAAAUCUCUUUAGGGGGAGCCUCGAGGUUUAGAAUCAUGGAGGUAGAGCACUGUUUGGACUAGGGGCCCGUCAUGGGUUACUGACUUCAGAUAAACUCCGAAUGCCAUUGAUUUUUACUCGGGAGUCACACGGUGAGUGAUAAGAUCCAUCGUGGAAAGGGGAACAGCCCAGAUCAUCAGCUAAGGUCCCUAAAUAUAUGCUAAGUGGAAAAGGAUGUGGAAUUGCACAGACAACUAGGAUGUUGGCUCAGAAGCAGCCAUCAUUUAAAGAGUGCGUAAUAGCUCACUAGUCGAGUGACUCUGCGCCGAAAAUGUACCGGGGCUAAGCAUAUUACCGAAGCUAUGGAUGCAUCCAUCAGGAUGCGUGGUAGGAGAGCGUUCCAAGGGCGAUGAAGUCAGACCGUAAGGACUGGUGGAGCGCUUGGAAGUGAGAAUGCCGGUAUGAGUAGCGAAAGACAGGUGAGAAUCCUGUCCACCGAAUGACUAAGGUUUCCUGGGGAAGGCUCGUCCUCCCAGGGUUAGUCGGGACCUAAGUCGAGGCCGAGAGGCGUAGACGAUGGACAACAGGUUGAUAUUCCUGUACCAGUUGAUUGUGCUUGAGUGAUGGAGUGACGCAGAAGGCUAAGCGAUCCGGACGAUUGGAAGUGUCCGGCCAAGCAGCAAGUCAGUUGAUGAGUCAAAUGCUUAUCAGCGGGUUGACAAGCUGUGACGGGGAGCGAAAUUAUAGUAGCGAAGUCGUUGAUGUCACGCUGCCGAGAAAAGCUUCUAGCGAAUAAUCAACUGCCCGUACCGCAAACCGACACAGGUAGUCGAGGAGAGUAUCCUAAGGUGAGCGAGCGAACUCUCGUUAAGGAACUCGGCAAAAUGACCCCGUAACUUCGGGAGAAGGGGUGCUGAUCGCAAGAUCAGCCGCAGUGAAAAGGCCCAGGCGACUGUUUAUCAAAAACACAGGUUUCUGCAAAAUCGUAAGAUGAAGUAUAGGGGCUGACGCCUGCCCGGUGCUGGAAGGUUAAAAGGAAGAGUUAGCUUCGGCGAAGCCCUGAAUUGAAGCCCCAGUAAACGGCGGCCGUAACUAUAACGGUCCUAAGGUAGCGAAAUUCCUUGUCGGGUAAGUUCC